GGUGGUGGUAGUGGUAUGGUGGUGAUAGUGGUAUGGUGGUGAUGGUGAUGGUGAUGGUGGUGGUGGUGGUAGUGGUAUGGUGGUGAUGGUGGUGAUGGUGGUGGUGGUGGUGGAGUGUGACUACUAUAAAAAUUCAUGAAGACCAGAUCAGAGCACACUGAGAAAUCCUAUAUCCUUGAUGUACACCCGUGCACUCCAGAAUUAGCUCAUUUGGGGCACCAGGACAUCCUGGAGAUGCCUCCCCGCCAUGAGUCCCACCUUGACUACAGCAAGUCCCAGCACAGAGUUAAGCCAGAGCUGAUGGUGUCAACUCCCAGGCAAUAUGACCUCAAGGUGGGCCAAAGAAAAUCAAUUCUGGGUCAUGGAAGAUAUCACUCAUCCAUUUUUGAGUGAGAGGCCAAAGACCCGUAGACCAGGACAAUAGUCACAUGUCUCCACCCAAGUCACAAACACAGAUGAACGGGACCUGGGAUUCUGCCAAACUCUAGGGACUACCUGCCAUCCUGGGAGGAACGUUCUCUGUGUCAGAAAUGGAAAGGAGAGACAGUUGGAAUGAAGCACUUUAAUCCUGUAUCAUAGUAACAAGCAAAUCCGUCUGAAAAGCCUCCUGCCUCCAGAAAUUCAGAUGGAUGAAGUAUUACAAUUCAGUUGACCUUGCAUAAUUGUCUCAUUUUAUACUGUAUUUCUGUGUCCCAUGUAUCUCCGGGCCCUCAUGGGCACCCUCCUUCAAAUGCUGACUCAGAUUUCUGGCAGGGCUCCAGGGUACCCUGGCAGACACCUAUCACAUGCUGGCUCACAUCCCUGGGCCCGCAUUUUGCUCUGCUGGAACCAGCUGUGUCCCGGUGUAGUCUGGCAGCCCCUUGCCUCAGCUGCUUCUUCAUCUGUCACUUUCUAUCCCAGGACUUCCUACCUCCACCAACUGUGAAACCAGGGAGAGCUCACUCAGCCUUGCUGGAACAGGCACACACCCAGAAGUCUGAGAGAGUUAACCCCCCGGGGCAACUGCUGACCAAUGGGGUAUGGGAGAGGGUGGAUGAAUUCUCCCCUCUCCUGAGUCUCAGGUGGACAAUGCUAAGGUGCAUUCUACAUGGCUUCUCAGAAGCUCCCAGUGGGAUUCAGCUGCCACGGUGGUGACCAGCUCCAUCAAGUGCCCUCAGAUUGGCUUCUCUCUUUUCUCCUUUCGUUAUCCAAGUUCCUCUGGCUCUUUGAAUUCAGUUCCCAAAAUAAACUCAUUGCAUUAAAGUCUUUGUCUCAGGCUUUGCUUCUUGGAGGAACCCUAGGUAGGACAGGUAUGCAGGAGGGUCCUGGGGAGAAGAUGGGGUACACAGUGACAUAAGUUCCUCCUGCUCCCCCAACUCUGCUUUCUGCAGCAUGCUGGCCUGAGAAGGUCUCUGAGUGGGGUGCCAGAAAAGAAGAAUAGAGCGAUUGCUCCCUAAUUCAUGGCUAUUAACAAUCUCAGUUUUG
rnacentral:lncRNA from 1 species